AGAGUUUGAUUCUGGCUCAGAACGAACGCUGGCGGCGUGCCUAACACAUGCAAGUCGAGCGAGGAGAUCCUUCGGGAUGAUCCUAGCGGCGGACGGGUGAGUAACACGUGGGCAACCUGCCUCAUAGAGAGGAAUAGCCUUCCGAAAGGGAGAUUAAUACCUCAUAACAUUGCAGUUUCGCAUGGAACAGCAAUUAAAGGAGUAAUCCGCUAUGAGAUGGGCCCGCGGCGCAUUAGCUAGUUGGUGAGGUAACGGCUCACCAAGGCGACGAUGCGUAGCCGACCUGAGAGGGUGAUCGGCCACAUUGGGACUGAGACACGGCCCAGACUCCUACGGGAGGCAGCAGUGGGGAAUAUUGCACAAUGGGGGAAACCCUGAUGCAAGCAACGCCGCGUGAGUGAUGACGGCCUUCGGGUUGUAAAGCUCUGUCUUCAGGGACGAUAAUGACGGUACCUGAGGAGGAAGCCACGGCUAACUACGUGCCAGCCGCUGC
rnacentral:rRNA from 1 species